UACAGAGGGUGCGAGCGUUGUUCGGAAUUACUGGGCGUAAAGGGCUCGUAGGCGGCCAACUAAGUCAGACGUGAAAUCCCUCGGCUUAACCGGGGAACUGCGUCUGAUACUGGAUGGCUUGAGUUUGGGAGAGGGAUGCGGAAUUCCAGGUGUAGCGGUGAAAUGCGUAGAUAUCUGGAGGAACACCGGUGGCGAAGGCGGCAUCCUGGACCAACACUGACGCUGAGUGAGCGAAAGCCAGGGGAGCAAACGGG
rnacentral:rRNA from 1 species